UACGUAGGGGGCAAGCGUUAUCCGGAUUUACUGGGUGUAAAGGGAGCGUAGACGGUUAUGCAAGUCAGAAGUGAAAGCCCAAAGCCCAACUUCGGGACUGCUUUUGAAACUGUGUAACUAGAGUGCAGGAGGGGUAAGCGGAAUUCCUAGUGUAGCGGUGAAAUGCGUAGAUAUUAGGAGGAACACCGGCGGCGAAGGCGGCUUACUGGACUGUAACUGACGUUGAGGCUCGAAAGCGUGGGGAGCAAACAGG
rnacentral:rRNA from 1 species